GACGAACGCUGGCGGCGCGCCUAACACAUGCAAGUCGAACGAGAAUCGCGGAGCUUGCUCUGCGAGGACAGUGGCGGACGGGUGAGUAACACGUGAGCAAUCUGCCUUUAGGAGGGGGACAACACCGGGAAACCGGUGCUAAUACCGCAUGAAACAUUUUGGUCGCAUGGCCUGAAUGUCAAAGAUUUAUCGCCUAAAGAUGAGCUCGCGUCUGAUUAGAUAGUUGGUAAGGUAACGGCUUACCAAGUCUGCGAUCAGUAGCCGGACUGAGAGGUUGAUCGGCCACAUUGGGACUGAGACACGGCCCAGACUCCUACGGGAGGCAGCAGUGGGGGAUAUUGCACAAUGGAGGGAACUCUGAUGCAGCGACGCCGCGUGAGGGAAGAAGGUUUUCGGAUUGUAAACCUCUGUCAGGGGGGAAGAUAAUGACGGUACCCCUUGAGGAAGCCACGGCUAACUACGUGCCAGCAGCCGCGGUAAUACGUAGGUGGCAAGCGUUGUCCGGAAUUACUGGGUGUAAAGGGAGUGUAGGCGGGACUUUAAGUCAGAUGUGAAAUGCGCAGGCUCAACUUGCGACCUGCAUUUGAAACUAAAGUUCUUGAGUGAAGUAGAGGCAAGCGGAAUUCCAUGUGUAGCGGUGAAAUGCGUAGAUAUAUGGAGGAACACCAGUGGCGAAGGCGGCUUGCUGGGCUUUUACUGACGCUAAUGCUCGAAAGCGUGGGGAGCAAACAGGAUUAGAUACCCUGGUAGUCCACGCCGUAAACGAUGAUUACUAGGUGUGGGGGGAUUGAACCCUUCCGUGCCGCAGCUAACGCAUUAAGUAAUCCACCUGGGGAGUACGUGCGCAAGCAUGAAACUCAAAGGAAUUGACGGGGGCCCGCACAAGCAGUGGAGUAUGUGGUUUAAUUCGAAGCAACGCGAAGAACCUUACCGGGGCUUGACAUGGAGAUGACCGCCGUAGAGAUACGGCUUCCCUUCGGGGCAUCUCACACAGGUGGUGCAUGGUUGUCGUCAGCUCGUGUCGUGAGAUGUUGGGUUAAGUCCCGCAACGAGCGCAACCCUUAUCAUUAGUUGCUACAUUUAGUUGAGCACUCUAACGAGACUGCCGUCGACAAGACGGAGGAAGGUGGGGACGACGUCAAAUCAUCAUGCCCUUUAUGUCCCGGGCUACACACGUACUACAAUGGCAUUUAACAAUGAGUCGCGAACCCGCGAGGGGAAGCUAAUCUCCAAAAAAUGCCUCAGUUCAGAUUGCAGGCUGCAACUCGCCUGCAUGAAGUCGGAAUUGCUAGUAAUCGUGAAUCAGCAUGUCACGGUGAAUACGUUCCCGGGCC
rnacentral:rRNA from 1 species